ACCUGCAAAACCAAAAAUACCCCCGUUACCGAGAACAGGAAUAAGUAAAUAAGAUCCAAAAAAUGCACGAACAUUGGUUGACCUUUUUUUUUAAAUUUUAGCACAUCUAUUUUGUUCGUUAAGUCAACAGUCCCCUGGUUGAUCAUUCCUUUUGUUUUGUUUUGUUUUGUUUUGUUUUUUUAACUUUCUGGUCAGUCUGUUUUCUAGUCCGCCUACCUGCCCAUUCUUGGCAGCCCCUAUCCAUCUAGCCCAUUUCAGAAUUAUGGGUCUUACUGAGGGUGGGCAGUACAGCACUGCAGAAAGAUCACUGGCUUCAGUCAAUAACCUCGUGGAUCCUGGCUUUAUUCUCACCAGCAGUGUGACUUGAUCAAACUGCCUGGCUGUGGCAGAGACUAAGAGGUAUUUCCCAACGUCCUUUCUCUCCUUCCUCUUACAUAACAGAGCCCGUGAGCCCACAAGUGUCUAGAAUAAAGACUAUAUUUCCUAGUUCCUGUAGUUCUGGUUGAGGGAGUACAUGCAGAAAUAAUUUGUGCACUUUCUAGGAAGGAUUCUUAAAGGGAAUUUGUUUUUUCUUUUCUCAUUUCAUGGGGAUGUAAUGCCGGAGAACCAGGAAUCAUCUUAAACUGCCAUGAAGGCCGUGCCUUAAGGACAGAAAAGCAGAAAGCUACAAGGAUCCUGGAACUCUGAUGAAUUUUUGAACUAUCAUACCCUGGACUGCUGCUGCUUUAAGCUUUCUGAAAUUGUGAAAUAGAACACACAUUUAGAAAAAUGCACAGUGAUAGAUGUACAGUGUAACGAAUUAAGGUGCAGAGAUCUAUGCUGGUGUUGUGGAACAGGCCAAGGGAUAUACAGUAUGCUUGCUCUCACGGAGCUCACAGUCUUCUUCAGGAAGCCAAUGAUACAGGGGAAUUGAGGAGCAUUCAAGGGCAACUGUCUCAAAGUGAGGAGCUUUCCUUUGGCAGUGAAGGCCUGCACAUCAUGAUUCUUGAAAAUGAACUUGUUUCCUUGUGAAACAGUGUGUGUGUUCUGAUUUCAACAUACGUUUUAUUUGUUUUACUUUUGAUCACCAAAAGUCCCCCAAAUUAUAUGUAACAUAGGAUUUUGUUCACUGGUUCUAUAUUCAGCCACAGGAGGGGAUACUUUUAACUUAAAAGUAUCAAAAAUUCUAAUCUCCAUCAUUUAAAAAUCAUACUUUAGAAUCACAUUUUUCUGGGGCUCCUGGGUGGCUCAGUUGGUUAAGCAUCCGACUUCAGCUCAGGUCAUGAUCUCACAGCUUGUGAGUUCAAGACCCACGUCGGGCUCUGUGCUGACAGCUCAGAGCCUGGAGCCUGCUUUGGAUUCUGUGUCUCCCUCUCGCUGCUGUCUCUGUCUCUCAAGAAUAAAAUAAUAGAAUCACAUUUUCACCACAUAAUUUUUACAUUAGUUUUCCCACAGAAAACAUACAGAAGUGAUAAAACAAGCACAAAGCCAAAACUUGAAAUUAGUAAAAAUAUGCAAAUUGAGUAAAAUUUGAAACCAUAUGAAAUUACUGUGGUUGUAAUAGAACCUCUGAGUUUCUACAAAAUAAAACUGACACAAAAUAUAUAUAACAGCUCUAAUAUAUAACAGCUUUACAAUAACCACAACUACUGAAUCAAUAAAAGCAACAGCAAUCAAAAAAAUAAUAAUUCUAAACACAGGCAUCUCUUCAGUGAUAGGCCCUAAAUAGCACCACAUGAAACCACUUUAAAACCAGUCAUUCAUAAUAUGUUGGUAUCGAUCUGGGAAAACAGGCACUCACAUACACUGCAGCAAUUAGUACAUCAUUUAUGCAAGAAAUUUGUCAAUAUACAUCAAAACUAUAAAUGCAGGCAUAUUGUGGGCUAGCAAUUCCAUGUCUAAGAAUUUUCUUCUAGAUAUGUUCACACAUGUACCAAAUUAUAUGCAAACAAGAUUACUCAAUGCAGUAUUACUUUUAAUACAAAAAACUUGAGACAAUAUAAAUAACAAGAGGGGAUUGGUUAAAAUAUGGCACAUUUAAGCAAUGAUAUAUCAUGCAAAAAAUAAUGUAACAUAAUUAUGGGAUGAUCUCCAAGAUAUAUUAAAUAAUAAAAGCACAGACAAAACCAUGUGUAUUAUAUACUAACAUUUGUGUAAAAAAAAGUUUAAAAAGAUACUUGGAACCACAUAGCUGGGAGACAGGGAUAGAAGGUUUACAUUUAAUACUCUCAUAGAACUCCUGAAUUUUGAACUAUGUGGAUAUUUUUCCCAGUCAAUAAAUAAAUUCUAAAUAUGAGAGAAAAGAAAGAAAAAAAUCAAAUUUUGAAAAAAAGCAAUUGGAUUUUUACAAUUAAAAAUGUUUGGUCAAGAAGUCCAAUCAAAAGUAUAAUAAAACUAACAAAAAUAUUUGAGAAUUUCUUCAAUCUCAGUCUUAUCAUUGUCUUGAAAAAUAAAGUUCCCAGGGAGAGAGAAAGGAACAUGAAUGAAUAUGAGAAUAUCAAGGAAAUGCUCUUACCAAACAAUACAUUUUAACCUGCUUAAAAGACAAACUGGCUAGGCAACUGAGUUUAAUCCAUAGUUUUCAUAAAUGAAAGAAAGAACUGAUUGUUACACUCUUUUAACCUACUUUAAGAUGUAAUUUGACAAAUCUUCAAAAAUAUAUUCCAACCUAAAUUACUACCAAGAAUAGCCUGAAAAUAUUGUACUGUGGAAAUUCUUUUAUGCCAUUCUAGAUAUUUUUCUUCCAUGAUUACUGUGACAUAGCCCGUAUUUUUUAAACCUUAUACCACCUGUACCUUCAUGUUUCUAUGAUUCUGAAUUCUCAAAAUAAUGUUAGCCAUAAGACUAAAAGCAGAUACACUGUCUGGACAUAAACCUGAUAUUUUGUGAUUCUCUUCAAUUCAAACCAAUAUUCUAAACUAACAGACUCCAUACAAUGGCAUCUCAUCCCAAAUCCAAAAGGACAUAUAAAAACAAGGACAAUAAAAUAAUGUGAAUCCUAUGACCCCAUCAGCUACAACAAACAUUAAACACAGCCCAAUGUCUAGCCAGAUUAGAAUAAAUCCCACAUUAUGCCUAUUUACUUCAGUUCCUAUUGCUUGAUAACAGAUGUCAGGCUAUCAAAAACAUUAAAAGGUAUUCCAAAGGAAAGGGGGAAAAAAAACCCACAAAAACACAGUCUAAAGAGAGAAAGCAAUCAUCAGAACCAGAUUCAGAUAGGACAUAAAUGUUGGAAUUAUCAGACAGAAAAUUUAAGAUAACAAUGAUCAAUAUUAUGAUAAAGGCUCUAAUGCAAAAGGUAGAUGACAUGCAAGAAUAGAUGAGUAAUGUAAAUAGAGACAAAAACUCAAAGAAUCAAAAGGAUAGAAAUCAAAACACUAUAACAGAAAUGAAGAAUGCCAUCAAUGGCUCAUCAGUAAACUCCACAUAGCUAAAAAAAAAAAAAAAAAAAAAAAAGAAUCCAGGAAUUUAAAGAUA